rnacentral:tRNA from 2 species
AAAAAUGGAGAUUAAUUACCCUCCCUAAGAC